rnacentral:rRNA from 1 species
GAUGAACGCUGGCGGCGUGCCUAAUACAUGCAAGUCGAGCGAACAGACGAGGAGCUUGCUUCUCUGACGUUAGCGGCGGACGGGUGAGUAACACGUGGAUAACCUACCUAUAAGACUGGGAUAACUUCGGGAAACCGGAGCUAAUACCGGAUAAUAUAUUGAACCGCAUGGUUCAAUAGUGAAAGACGGUCUUGCUGUCACUUAUAGAUGGAUCCGCGCUGCAUUAGCUAGUUGGUAAGGUAACGGCUUACCAAGGCAACGAUGCGUAGCCGACCUGAGAGGGUGAUCGGCCACACUGGAACUGAGACACGGUCCAGACUCCUACGGGAGGCAGCAGUAGGGAAUCUUCCGCAAUGGGCGAAAGCCUGACGGAGCAACGCCGCGUGAGUGAUGAAGGUCUUCGGAUCGUAAAACUCUGUUAUUAGGGAAGAACAAAUGUGUAAGUAACUAUGCACGUCUUGACGGUACCUAAUCAGAAAGCCACGGCUAACUACGUG